rnacentral:lncRNA from 1 species
UUAAAACAAUUUUAAACAUCUAAAGUACCACUAUUUUCUGCCUGAGAAUGCUACAUUUAAAAUAGUAUUUGGUUCCAUUUUCUAGGGCCAGAUCAUAUUUUUCCCAUCACAAGUUCUGUAUAAGGCAUACCUUCACACAAAGCUUCCAGUAAAAGGCUGACUGGUGCUGCUCAUUUGUGACAAGAGUCAAAUGGAAGCUUACUCAAAUAUACACAAAGACUGCAUAGUUAAAAAACUAGAAAUUGAUUCUAAACAUUCAAACCAAUUUAUAGAAUUCUAGAAAGAGGGAUAAGGUAAGGAGAAGGUGACAGAUGGGUAUCAACAUAGAGGCAGGAAGGAUGGCAAAAACAAAGAGGAACAGACUAGAAGUAAAAUAAUUGUAAAAGGUAUAAUGAACAUAAUUUUAAAACUUGGCAAAGACAAUAUGUUUUGAAAUCUUAAUUUGCCAUCAGCAUUUACUAUCAGGAGAUUUAAAAUCUUGCUUUCUGACUCAUUUGGUAAAAGAAACCCUUUUGAUUGUUUACAGCAGACUUGUCUGUGAAUACUGGCCAUUUACACAUUGCCUGCUAAGCUACUUUACUCCUGUUCAUCUGCAUUGUCCCUGAAGACAUUUAAUUUUGUGAUCUCUGAUGGAACUGUACUUUUUUGUUAUGCCCAAGGGACACACUAGCCUUCUCCAUAAGAGAAGGCACAUUCCCAGAACUUAUUCUGUAACUGUAGCAUAUGUGUGACUUGGUGUAAAUGACUAUUUUAUAAAGUUUCAGAAUCCACAGCAGAAAUUCUACAGGCCCUAUAGUGGUCAGACAUGAUACAUUACAUGAAGUUCAUUGUGACCCUGUUGUAGAGUGAAGCUUCAUUAGUUGUAUGACCACCAGAUGUAUGCUAACUCACAUCUGUCUUCAACACUGCUUGUUAAUCGUUGCUCUAACAAUAGAAAAAUUGAGGCAGUAUGUAAAAUCAUUGUUAACAAGAUAAUUGCUAGUGUUAUGAAAUCAUGCUUUGAUGAUAUAAAAAAAUCACCCAGAGGCUUGUUCAUUCUCUAUUUACUAAACAGAUUCCUACAACACAUUUAUUCAAAGCUCAUUAGGUACAAAAAGAAAUCAGGAGAAUACAGAAUAUAGAUUCUGCUCUCAAUAUUGUUAAUAUUGCUCUCAGAUAUUGUUAAUAAGAGAUCAAAAUGUGCAGUACAAAUAACUUAUAAGCCAAAACUGAUUAGAUAUUAAAUAUGCAAAUAAAUCAUACAUUCUCAAAUGUCAAUGUGUACAAAAAUUUUCAUGAGGAGUUGUAAGAAUUGAAAUGUUCUCCUUGACUAUGAUUUGGUAGUUUCAGAAAAUAUCUCUGUCACCAAAGAUGGAUUGCCUGCAACUGGAUAAUGAGUAGAGUGUACCUCUUAGCAUAGUUUCAAGGAUUCCAAAAAGCAACAGCAUUUGUGUCAAACCUUGAUUUGGAAAGCACCUGGACUUCUCCAGAGCAUGAGGGUCAUGUGAGAGAAAAGAGAAGUAAUAUCAGAGACAUAAACCUAGAGAAGGUGCCAUACAACUGAUACAACCCACUGCCUGGUGGUUCUCUAUUGUGUACUUGGUUCAGUAAGAACUUGUACUUUAGCACAUAACCUCAUAAUGUGGUAUGAAGUCUGUAUUUUACCACAUAGUGACCUUUACACAGUUGGUAGGUAACUCUAAUUACAGGCUUCAUUGGAAUAAAGACUGUAUAUUGAACAAAACUAAAUUAAAUUUACACAUGAGCUAAUUCAGUAUCAUGAGCCUCAAAGGAAAUGUUUCUAUGUCUACAGUUGUCUGGUACUUGUAUGUCAUUACAAUGCUUGAUAUUUCUUACAUGAUAUAAUAUAGAGACACUUGUUGACUUUGCACAAGAUUGUUUAUUUGUUUACUUCAGAGUUAUACUACACAGACCAAGAUGGCUUGGAUUUGAGACACUCCAGCAUCAGCUUACAGUGUUUUAGAAUUCCUGGAAGGUCCCACCAUUCCUGUCAAUUUUUAGUGUUUCCUGGUGAGCAACCACCUCAAGUAUCUUUUCCAUGGUGUAAAUGCAAAGAGAAGCAUAAUGCACUUCAUAUGCUGUGGAAUUUAGUUUUGCAGCUCAGCAGACAAAAGGCUCUCCUGGUAUUUCUUCUACAGAACAACGCUUUUAUACCACACAAUAGCUUACAGAUAAAAGGUGUUAUUGCAGAAACAAUAUGUUUGUUUUAAAUGUGAAGUAGAAAUGUAAAGGGAAUGAAAUUAUGAGAAGCGGAGCUAGACCUUUGACAAUCACAUAUUACUCUGUGCCACCAGUUUCCCAGACAAAGACCAGCAAAAUGAGAAUGAACAAGAAAAAUGAUGAGGAAUGAUGUGAGGCCAGAGUAGCACAAAAAAUGAAAUAUUUCUUAGGCUCUUACAGAGAUAACAAGUAGUAUUGCUACCUAGAAAAGCAGAGAGCUGCAGGCACAUACCUAAGUGUAUCUAUCAUAUGGAGGAUGCUGUUUAUCAAAGUCAAUGAUUUAAAUGCAUUCAGCAGUAAUUACAAAGUCUAAGUGGUUUAAUAGCAAUUAUAUCAUUUGUCUUUAUAAAUAUAUAAGAUCAAAUUUGUGGUUUUUCUACAUAAAUGCACAAAUGAUUAUGUUAGGCCUUUACUCUCCUAUUAAUAGUUUCACUGCCAAGACCUCAGCCAGUAAAAGCCUCAUUGUGUCUGAGAUCACCUCCUCAGCCACUCUGUACACUAAGUAGUUAUUUGUGAGAGCUCUUUCAAACAAGUUGAGCAUACAAAUUAUCAAAUAUCACUUGAAAAAAGGGUUUGGCCCAUUUUAGGGUGUUAGAAUUGAGUGCCCAUCUAUAUGAGUUUAAGUACAAUCGAUUAACACAGGCAAUGAAAGCAUAUUUCUUCAACUGGUAUCCUCAGCAAUGUUAAUAGAGAUCACAUAGACAAGCCAAAUACCAAAACAAGAGAACAGUAUGCUUUCCUGUAUUCCUAACUUGUAAUGACACUAUACCCUGGAGAGGAAUUAAGGGGAUACAGAUGAUCAGCCUUCACUUUACGUGGAAGAUUAAGCAAAUGUGAGAUUUAAAUUUUUCUGUGUACUAUAAAUGAUAAAAAUCUCUUUGUCUUAGCUUCUAAGAGUAAUUAUUUGGGACUAUUUUGCUUUAAACUAGAUUACCCAAUGAAAGACAGUGCUCUCAGAUAAAAUUUCUCAGGUCUUAAUACUUGUUGAGAAAUAGGAUACAACAUGAUUCUAUUUUUAUCGUGAGCCAUCAGAUCAUAACUCCUGAGUGUGAAAACAGUUUCUCAGUACAUACAGCAUUCUCAGAUCAAGCAUGUGACUGUCCCAUAGAAAUGCUUCGUCUCUCCAGAUGACAGCUGAUUGUCUGACAAUUUAAUUUAAUCCCGACACUACCUGGAGUUCCUCUUAAAUUCCAAGAGUUAACAAGCUCCCUUCCAAAAGAUAGCCCCCAAAGAUAGCCUGGCCUUCCUAAACAUCUGAUAACUGACUUUAAAUUGGGGGUUUCAUUUUCCUCAGUUCAAUAUUCUUCUUCUGUAGCUCAUAGACCCCAGACACAUUUUAUUUACUUAUUUCAUGUGUAGGAUUGUAUAAUUCCAGCUGUACUGAAAGGGUUUUACCAUAGAAAAAAGUAUGGGAGAGGUGGUUAGGAAAAGAUUUGAGCCAAGGACACAUCACUUCCAUGUUGUUCCUGGCUGUGCACCAACCUGGCAGUUUAUCAAACCUGGUUCAAUAAUUUUUAUAGAAACAAAUCUUUAAAAAAGAAGAAAUCAAUCUUCAUCUUCUACCUUCUGUCUCCUGUAUUAAUCUUCUAAUCCCUGAGUCUUUCUUGAUAGUAGCCUCAUUUUGAAGCUAUCCUGCCCUAACCUUUUCCUCCAUAGUAUAAACUCAAAUUUACAAAGGGUAUUUUUAUAUUUCAACCUAAUAAUACCAUGAGUGACUAGGGUGAUAGGGUGAUUACAUGGGCAUUCCUAUCAGGAAUUAUCCUGGGUGAGUUAUCUGAGUUGGGAAGACAGUCCCACUGUAGAUUACACUUUUCCCUGUGCUGAGGUUCUGAACUGUACAAACAUGGGAAAGUUAGCUUAGCAAAAGGAUUUAGCACUCUCACGCUUCCUGAUAGUGGAUGCAAUAUUGUUGGCAGCUUCAGGCUCUUGCUUCUUUGACUGUGCUGCUGUGAUGGACUAUGCCUUUAUACUAGGAGUCAAAACAAAUGCUUAAUCCCUUAAAUUGUUUUGUAUUGUUAUUUUAUCACCUCAACAGAGAAAGCAACUAAGACAAGUUUGAUCCAAAAGUGCUCCAGCAAUUCCAAGAACUUUAGGAAGCAUCUUUCGGGAACCUAGAGCAAAGGUGUUGAACAUUCUGAGGCCAGGAACUGUUUCUGAAACAUCGACAGGAAUCUUACAUGCCCUCCAGCCCAAUCAGCUUCACUCCUGCCAACAGGUAAGUGUUCCCAUGGGGUGGCAACACAGAUUGGCACAUUAAGUUAGGGCAGGACCAAGCGACUCCUUACCCCCACCUCGCCGUGACAAGUCUGAGUAUGGUAUCCUGUCACAGGGAGUGAGCUCUAAUAAGAUUAUUCAUGCACAAGGGAUAGAUGCUUUCCUACUGCCAGGGACACAUCAAAUAGCCCAAGCUUCAUAACUCUCUCCCACAAUUGAAAGGCCUAGUUCAGUCCCAUGGAGGCUCCACAGCUGUUGGUCUAGAAUUCAUGAGUUCCCAUGAGCUUGGUUCAGCUGUCUCUGUAGAUUUUUCCAUCGUGACCAUGACUUCCCUUGCUCAUGUAUUCCCUCCUCUCUCUUUUCAACUCCAUUCCCGGAGCUCUGCCUGGUGAUUGGUUGUGGAUCUCUGCAGAUGGUUCCAUCUUUUACUGAAUGAAGGUUCUAUGAUAAUAGCUGUGGUAUUCACCAGUCUGAUUACAGGGGAAGGCCAGUUAGGACAUCCUAUCCACUCUUGCUAAGAGACUUAGCUGGGGUCAUCCUUAUGAAUUCUUGGGGGAUUCCCUAGCACCAGGUUUCUCCCUCAUCCUUUAGUGGCUCUCACUAUCAAGGUAUUUAUUUCCUUACUUCCCUCCCCAUUUCGUUCCCC